rnacentral:lncRNA from 1 species
GAAUUUGUGCAUACUCUGAUGCAGAAGCGAGAAUCUCAAGAAGACCCUUCAUCUUUGUUUUGGAAGUCAAAGAAGAACUAAAACGCUCUAUGGUAGUGUAGCUGAUAUAAUAAUAUGAUGCUAUCAUGCCAAGGUUCAACGGUGAGAGGUCCAUGUCAUCCUCGAUUGCAACACAUUUACUUGCUUCCAAAUCACUCAAUGUGUUCUCUACACUUUCUGAAAGGUGAUCAGAAAGAUGCCUGUGACUAACUCCCUGAAGAUUGUAGUAGUUUGGAUUUUGAGUGAGCCUCCUAUACAUGAAUGUCCAAGUGAGAUAAUCCACAGCAUCUUGCUUGUUCUCAAUGACUCCAACAACUAUUUCAGCAUUCAAAUUAUCAUGCAGGUAGUGCUGCAAAUGACUUUCAACUGGGAAUGCUUCAUACAAGAACUUCUUGUAGUAUUCUUUACGAGGGGCAUGACAGAGGAUGACACAUUUCCCAGAAUUAUCUAAUAGAGGUCGACUGGCAUGGCCCAUCAUCUGUAACAGAUCAGUAACUGGGUAAUCAGUGUGAGCAUUUUCGCGCCCAUCAUAAUACUGGGUUCCCAUUACGACCACCAAAUGAGCUGACAAUGGCACUCCCCAGCAUAAUGAACUACUCAUAACA